GGCCUAGUAGCGGAUGGUUCGCACCUGCAUUCAAUGCACGGCGGAACGAUUUGUGCGGGGGAUGCUCGUUCGAAUCGAGCCUGGGCCA